rnacentral:snoRNA from 1 species
UCCUUCUCAGGAUCGCAACUGGAGAGUUUCCAGUACUCUACCAGUCUCGACUAUGGGAGGGAAAGUCAAGCAGAGGCCCACCCAUUCCAUUCCUAGCUUGGGCAGUGGGUAUCGAGUGGCAGGCAAUCUGCUACAAGU